rnacentral:rRNA from 1 species
ACGGGGGGAGCAAGCGUUGUUCGGAAUUACUGGGCGUAAAGGGCGCGUAGGCGGCCUGUUAAGUCGAACGUGAAAUCCCCGGGCUCAACCCGGGAACUGCGUCCGAUACUGGCAGGCUUGAAUCCGGGAGAGGGAUGUGGAAUUCCAGGUGUAGCGGUGAAAUGCGUAGAUAUCUGGAGGAAUACCGGUGGCGAAGGCGGCAUCCUGGACCAUAACUGACGCUGAGGCGCGAAAGCUAGGGGAGCAAACGGGA